rnacentral:rRNA from 1 species
UAGGGAAUCUUCCGCAAUGGACGAAAGUCUGACGGAGCAACGCCGCGUGAGUGAAGAAGGAUUUCGGUUCGUAAAACUCUGUUGUUCGGGAAGAAAAAAUGUAUAGUAACUAUAUACAAAAGAGACGGUACCUAACCAGAAAGCCACGGCUAACUACGUGCCAGCAGCCGCGUUAAUACGUAGGUGGCAAGCGUUGUCCGGAAUUAUUGGGCGUAAAGCGCGCGCAGGUGGUUUAGAAAGUCUGAUGUGAAAGCCCACGGCUCAACCGUGGAGGGUCAUUGGAAACUAAUAAACUUGAGUGCAGGAGAGAAAAGUGGAAUUCCUAGUGUAGCGGUGAAAUGCGUAGAGAUUAGGAGGAACACCGGUGGCGAAAGCGGCUUUUUGGCCUGAAACUGACACUGAGGCGCGAAAGCGUGGGGAGCAAACAGG